AUGGAGCAGGAGUUUCAUGCUCUUCUUCGUAACAAGACAUGGACUCUCGUUCCUCCACCACCACGGGUAAAUGUUAUUGACUCAAAAUGGGUAUUCAAAGUGAAGAAGCAUUCGGAUGGAUCUAUUGAGCGUUACAAAGCGCGACUUGUUGCUCACGGUUUUCGGCAGCGUCAUGGUCUUGACUAUGAGGACACCUUCAGUCCUGUCGUCAAGCCUACCACUAUUCGGCUUCUUCUCUCCAUUGCUGUUUCUCGUGGUUGGUCCCUUCGUCAACUUGAUGUGCAGAAUGCUUUUCUACAUGGAUUUUUGGAGGAAGAGGUUUAUAUGAAACAGUCGCCUGGUUUCUCUGAUCCUGAUCAUCCUGACUAUAUCUGUCGUCUUCCCAAAGCACUAUAUGGUUUGAAGCAAGCUCCUCGUGCCUGGCAUGCCCGCCUUGCCUCUGCCCUUCGUGCUCAUGGGUUUGUGCCGCCCACUGCUGACACUUCAUUAUUUCUUCUACAGAAGCCAGAAGUCACUAUGUAUCUUUUGGUAUAUGUCGAUGAUAUUAUCCUUGUCAGCUCUUCUCAGUAUGCUGCUGAUGCUCUUGUCUGCUCUCUUGGUGCUGAUUUUGCGGUCAAAGAUCUUGGGAAGCUUCACUACUUUCUUGGAGUUGAGGUCACUUCUCGUGCUACUGGUCUUGUCCUUACGCAGAAGAAGUACUCCUUGGAGUUGUUACAAAAAGCCGGCAUGCUGAAGUGCAAACCGACCACCACACCCAUGUCGUCUACCGACAAGAUAACAGCUGUUGAUGGUGAGCUUUUGUCUCCUGCGGAUGCCACAGAGUACAGAAGCAUUGUUGGUGGACUUCAGUACUUGACGAUCACGAGACCAGAUAUCUCUUAUGCUGUUAACAGGGUUUGUCAGUAUCUUCAGGCUCCCAGAGAUACUCAUUGGCUGCUGAUAAACGCAUUCUUCGUUAUGUUCAGUUCACCCUGA
rnacentral:rRNA from 1 species